rnacentral:rRNA from 1 species
CGACCGGCGCACGGGUGAGUAACGCGUAUCCAACCUGCCCAUAACAAGGGGAUAACCCGUAGAAAUGCGGCCUAAUACCCUAUGUGGUCCGAUGAUGGCAUCAGAUUUGGACUAAAGAUUUAUCGGUUAUGGAUGGGGAUGCGUCUGAUUAGUUUGUUGGCGGGGUAACGGCCCACCAAGACAUCGAUCAGUAGGGGUUCUGAGAGGAAGGUCCCCCACAUAGGAACUGAGACACGGUCCUAACUCCUACGGGAGGCAGCAGUGAGGAAUAUUGGUCAAUGGGCGUGAGCCUGAACCAGCCAAGUAGCGUGCAGGAUGACGGCCCUAUGGGUUGUAAACUGCUUUUAUACGGGGAUAACAGACAUUACGUGUAGUGUUUUGCAGGUACCGUAUGAAUAAGGACCGGCUAAUUCCGUGCCAGCAGCCGCGGUAAUACGGAAGGUCCGGGCGUUAUCCGGAUUUAUUGGGUUUAAAGGGAGCGUAGGCCGCAGGUUAAGCGUGUUGUGAAAUGUAGAUGCUCAACAUCUGAAUUGCAGCGCGAACUGGUCUGCUUGAGUACGCGCAACGUUGGCGGAAUUCGUCGUGUAGCGGUGAAAUGCUUAGAUAUGACGAAGAACUCCGAUUUGCGAGGCAGCUGACGGGAGCGUUACUGACGCU